rnacentral:rRNA from 1 species
CUACGGGUUGCACCAGUGAGGAAUAUUGCACAAUGGGGGGAACCCUGAUGCAGCAACGCCGCGUGGAGGAUGACGCAUUUCGGUGUGUAAACUCCUUCUAUAUGUCAAGAAAAUGACGGUAGCAUAUGAAUAAGCACCGGCUAACUCCGUGCCAGCAGCCGCGGUAAUGCGGAGGGUGCAAGCGUUACUCGGAAUCACUGGGCGUAAAGGACGCGUAGGCGGGUUGGAAAGUCAGGUGUGAAAUCCUACAGCUUAACUGUAGAACUGCACUUGAAACUUCUAAUCUAGAGUAUGGGAGGGGGAGAUGGAAUUAGUGGUGUAGGGGUAAAAUCCGUAGAUAUCACUAGGAAUACCUAAAGCGAAGGCGAUCUCCUGGAACAUUACUGACGCUAAGGCGUGAAAGCGUGGGGAGCAAACAGGAUUAGAUACCCGUGUAGUC